GGCUAUAUACAGGGUAUUACGGUACAGAGUCAAUGUGGAGGCUAUAUACAGGGUAUUACGGUACAGAGUCAAUGUGGAGGCUAUAUACAGGGUAUUACGGUACAGAGUCAAUGUGGAGGCUAUAUACAGGGUAUUACGGUACAGAGUCAAUGUGGAGGCUAUAUACAGGGUAUUACGGUACAGAGUCAAUGUGGAGGCUAUAUACAGGGUAUUACGGUACAGAGUCAAUGUGGAGGCUAUAUACAGGGUAUUACGGUACAGAGUCAAUGUGGAUGCUAUAUACAGGGUAUUACGGUACAGAGUCAAUGUGGAGGUUAUAUACAGGGUAUUAAGGUACAGAGUCAAUGUGGAGGCUAUAUACAGGGGGUACCGGUACAGAGUCAAUGUGGAGGCUAUAUACAGGGUAUUAAGGUACAGAGUCAAUGUGGAGGCUAUAUACAGGGUAUUACGGUACAGAGUCAAUGUGGAGGCUAUAUACAGGGGGUACCGGUACAGAGUCAAUGUGGAGGCUAUAUACAGGGGGUACCGGUACAGAGUCAAUGUGGAGGCUAUAUACAGGGGGUACAGAGUCAAUGUGGAGGCUAUAUACAGGGUGUACCUGUACAGAGUCAAUGUGGAGGCUAUAUACAGGGGGUACCAGUACAGAGUCAAUGUGGAGGCUAUAUACAGGGGGUACCUGUACAGAGUCAAUGUGGAGGCUAUAUACAGGGGGUACCGGUACAGAGUAAAUGUGGAGGCUAUAUACAGGGGGUACCGGUACAGAGUAAAUGUGGAGGCUAUAUACAGGGGGUACCGGUACAGAGUAAAUAUGGAGACUAUAUAUAGACCUAAUAGAGACCUAAUGUUGUUGUAGACCUAAUAUAGACCUAACACUGUUUUAGACCUAAUGUUAUUAUCAACCUAAUGCUGUUAUAGACCUAAUAUUGACCUAAU
ensembl:lncRNA